CGGGGUGCACCAGCAGUGGGGAAUAUCGCACAAUGGGCGCAAGCCUGAUGCAGCCAUGCCGCGUGUAUGAAGAAGGCCUUCGGGUUGUAAAGUACUUUCAGCGGGGAGGAAGGGAGUAAAGUUAAUACCUUUGCUCAUUGACGUUACCCGCAGAAGAAGCACCGGCUAACUCCGUGCCAGCAGCCGCGGUAAUACGGAGGGUGCAAGCGUUAAUCGGAAUUACUGGGCGUAAAGCGCACGCAGGCGGUUUGUUAAGUCAGAUGUGAAAUCCCCGGGCUCAACCUGGGAACUGCAUCUGAUACUGGCAAGCUUGAGUCUCGUAGAGGGGGGUAGAAUUCCAGGUGUAGCGGUGAAAUGCGUAGAGAUCUGGAGGAAUACCGGUGGCGAAGGCGGCCCCCUGGACGAAGACUGACGCUCAGGUGCGAAAGCGUGGGGAGCAAACAGGAUUAGAUACCCCAGUAGUC
rnacentral:rRNA from 1 species